AAACACUGGAUUUUUUUAUUUCUUUUUUUCAUUUACAAAUCAUAACAAAAAAUUUUGCAAUUUGCAGAACAUCUGCAAAUGAACUGAUGCACCAGAUGGCCAAAACUGGAAUCUGGAAUACCGUUGCCAGGAAGAGGUGCAUUUGGUCUGCAACAAUGCAUAGAUUCCACCUCUGCUGCUGUUAUAACCUCCACUCUUCAGGGAAGGCUUUCCACUGGAUUUUAAAGAGUGGCUGUGGGGAUUUUUGUUCAUUCAGUAAUGAGAGUAUUAGGAGGAGCUCUGGUGCACAGUCAACAUUUCAGUUUAUCACAAAAGUGUUGUUUUGGUUGAGGUCAGGGCUCUGUCUAGGACACAGUUCUUCCAGCGCUUUGCAAACCAUGUCUUUAUGGACAUGCUUUGUGUACAGUUGGCACUGUUGGCUCAACUUGUACUUGGUAUUAAAAUACAUGGCGAAACAAAACUGAGCACAGCAUCUGACACCCCUGAGAUAAUAACUGAAUUUGAAAAAAAUGUGUAAUAUAAUGUUAGUAGCAGUUAUGACCUGUUUAAGACUGAAACCACUUGAAAAAAAGCUUACAGUAAUGUAUACUGACUACAGGUUCUCAUACAGUACAUUGUAAUCUGUUUUUUGUUUUGUACUAUUUGUAUUUUUUUACUUUUUAUUUUAUUGCAUAUUUUUAAUUUUGAUUGUAAUUGUAAUGUUUCAUGCCCUUCUACGAUCUGUUCUCAGGAGGUAAAACCAAUAUAUGAAUUUCACUGUACCUAGAUGCAUAUGACAAUAAAAAGCUUGAAUCUUGAA